GAGAAGCUAAGGAAGGGGAACCUGAAGGGGAGAAAGACUUUUGAAGAAGAAGAUGAUCCAAAGAGGGAUCUUGAAUAUAACCCAGAUGUGGAUUGAGAUCCCAUCCCUUUUGUGAACCCUGUCUUAGUGUAGAUAGGUGUGAGACUUUUAUGUUGUAAAUAGUAUUGUAAAUAUACUAUGAGUUGUGCUGUUAAUGAAAGUGUGGUUAUGAAUUUCAAUAUGAAAAAUAUGGCCUACUUUCCUAUCCCAUUGUUUUAUUGUCUGGGGAUUUAUAACUGCUUCCGCAUGUGCUUAAUAAAAAGAAAGGGUCGGCGAUACAUAGUCCUGGGAUAUCGCAUUAUAAAAUCGACCAAGUAGAAGGAUGUGCGCGAGUCCGAGGAUCGGGGCGUGACAUCCCCUUUUUGUGGUAUCAGAGCGAAGUUCAAGAUUGGAGUGAUAAGGAGCGUUGACCAUGGGAUAGUUAAUAGGAAAGGCCUUUAAAUUCAUGCUGGUGCAUGUUUAUGUUAGCUGAAUGCUAAAAUUGUUUGUGGUGUGUGGAUCGCUCACCUUCUAAUCCAGUGUGGGUUUGGAAGUCGGGUUGCAGUGUAAAGACUGAACCAUGAGCGAGCAGGAGCUGAGAACUCCUAGUAAGAGGACAAUGUCCUUUGUAACUCGGGAUGAUGCACUGACUAAGGUCAGUACCCGAGGUGGUUAUGGCAGAGUGUUGGCUCUGGCCAGCUCGAGUGUAAGAGUACCACCGCAAGUUGGUACUAGUGUAGCAGCGUCGAAUGAUCCUAAGUUCGAUAGGAUCGUUCUGAUGCUAGUGUUCCUUGGGAAUUGGAUGAGCCAGCAAGCUCAGGAUCAAGCCGCUGAUGUUGUCGUUAUCAUUACCGCUUUUGUCGCUUCUCAUGCUGAGAUCCAGAGUGGAGAUGUAGAUGUGAUCCAGGAGCGAGUCAUUGUAUUCGAGUUGAGGUAUAGAUCCAGUUCAGGCAGAAAUGGAAAUCGGUCAGGGAAAAGACCGAGGUCGAGAGAAAAGCAUUCUAUUCCACUCUCGAGGAAGGAUGGAGUAGUCAAGUCGGCACCGAGUCAAAUAGAUCAGGUUGUUUUCGGACGUGAUGAUGGAGAUCGGCAUUUUGUCCUUCCUAGGACACGAAUUUGUUUGGAGUAUAGCUAGCGGGGAUAUUUGGUCGGGAGUGAUCCUAGCAGAAUGAUGGGGCAACCAGAAAGAGUGCAUGCUUUCGCCUAAUAGAAGAUAAAAGAUGCACCAGAUAGGUGUCAGAAUUGUAGAAGAAAGUAUGGAUAAAUCCAGUGUCCGGGUAUGACUAGAACAUGUUGUGAUGAUGACUAGCAGGGCCAUCAGGUGAAGGAUUGUCAGUGGAAGUCCAAGGUAGCAUAGGCAUCGCUACUGCGGCAGAACGCCACUAGGAUGGCGAAAGGAAUGGGAGUAGAAUUGAUCUUGCACCGAUUAGAGAAAGAAUGUAUUGGAGGUGAUUUUAUCAGAGUAACGUAGCAGAGUUUUGUGCUGAGUUCGUAGAACUUAAAUUGUUGAAGUAAAAGUGAAAGAGAAGGGAAUCACUAGCAAUAGUUGUGCUUGACUAGUUGCUGAGAUGUGAGUUUGACAUCACAUGAAUAGUGUGAGUUCAUAAAGCAUCUUGUAAUAAGGAAUCAUGGUCAUGGAAUAAUCCAGUUUAGUCUAUUAGUUUGCAAAAAUAGCAAGAUUAUUAAGAGUCGAAAAGAAUCUUCGAUUUCAUUAAUCUCGUUGGCUAAAGACAAUCCGUUUGUUAGGCAGAGGUUGCCAAGAUUGAUUUGACAACGGUAGUGGAUGUGUCAGUUAAGAAAUAGAAUGAGAAGAAGGUGGCCGUGAUACAGAAAAUUUAUAAGAUGGUUCCAAAGGAAUUGCUUGGGUUACCGCCAGAAAGAAAGAUUGAAAUUGCAAUUGAGAUGGCACCAGGAUAGAGCCGCUCUCGAAGACUUCUUACCAGCUGUUGUUGUCUAAAGUGGUAGAAUUGAAGAUGCAGAUGUGAAGAUUGAUGAAUGAGGAAUUCGUGUAUAUCGGUGCAUCACUUUUGGGAAACAUCAGUUUUGUUUGUGAGAAGAAGAAAGAUGGUUUAUUGCGAGUGUGCAUCAACUAUCGUCAACUCAAUUAGGUGAAGAUCAAGGACAAGUGUUCUUUGCCAAAGAUCAAUGAAUGGUGUGACUAGUUAUAAAGAGUAUCGAUGUUUUAAAGGUCGACUUGAGAUUAUGAAGUCGUUAGUUACGAACCAGGAAGGAGGUUGUACGAAAGACAGCUGUUCGUACUUGAUAUGGUCUUUACGAGAGUAUUGUAAGAUCGUUUGGCUUGGUGAACACUCCAGUUUCUGUCAUGGAUUUGACAAGCAGAACGUUCAAUGAAUAAGUGGAUCAUCAGUUUGUGAUUGUGUUCGUUGAUGACAUCUUAGUCUAUUCGAGAAGUGAUGAAGAGCAUGAGAAUCAUCUGAGAUUAGUGCUUCAGACCUUAAGAACUCAUCACCUGUAUGCUAAGUUUAGCAAAUGCGAGUUUGGUUGACUCGUGUUGCGUUCUUAGGUCAUGUGAUUUCUUGAGAAGGAAUCUCUGUCGACCUAAGCAAGAUAGAAGCCGUGAUCAAGUGGCCGAGACCGACAUCAGUGACAGAAAUCAGAAGUUUUCUGAGGGUUAACAGGUUAUUACAGACGGUUUGUGGAAGGGUUCUCAUCGAUAGCAUCACCUCUGACAAAGCUCCCGAAGAAAAGUGAGAAGUUCAUAUGGUCAGACAAGUGCGAGCGUAGUUUCCAAGAGCUGAAGGAAAAGCUGACUACCGCACCUGUGCUGAUGAUUCAAUCUGGUCCUGGAGGAUUCGAGAUCUAUAGUGAUGCGUCAUUCAGGGGAUUGGGUUGCGUGCUGAUGCAACAUGGCAGAGUUGUUGCAUACGCUUCCAGGCAAUUGAGACCUCAUGAAUUGAACUAUCCGACGCAUGACUUAGAGCUCGCCGCGAUUAUCUUUGCCUUGAAGAUUUGGAGACACUACUUGUGCGGGGAAAAGUUUCAGAUCUUCACGGACCAUCAGAGUCUCAGGUAUUUAUUCUCUCAGAAGGAGUUGAACAUGAGACAGCGCAGAUGGAUGGAAUUGCUGAAAGACUACGACUGUGAUAUUUUAUAUCACCCAGGAAAGGCGAAUAAGGUCGCCGAUGCUUUAAGUUGAAAAUCUUUAGUGGCUCAUAUACUGAUUAAGGAGUGGAACUUAAUCGAGAGAGCUCGAGAUUCGGUAUUCAAAUUUGAGGUAGGCCGCUUUUCAAGUUUUAUGGCCGCCCUCAGAAUUGAACCGGAUGUCCAGGUCAGAAUUAAACAACUCCAACCGAUAGACCCGGAUGUGCAGAGAAUUCUUCAGGAGGACGCAGAGAAAAGAAAGGCUGAUUUUCAGAUUGCUGAUGACGGAACACUAAGAUUCCAAGGACGAUUGGUUGUACCUGAUGAUGUAGAGCUUAGAGAAGAAAUUUUAUCUAAAGCACAUCGUAGCAAUUACAGCAUUCAUCCUGGAAGCACUAAGAUGUAUCAGAAUUUGCGUCAACACUACUGGUGGUCAGGUAUGAAGGCGGACAUCGCCAAGCAUGUGGCCAAGUGUUUGACUUGUCAACAAGUAAAAGCCCAGCAUUGCAAGCCGGGAGGACUUUUGCAACCUCUCGUGAUCCUAGAGUGGAAAUGGGAACAUAUCACGAUGGACUUCGUGACUGGACUACCAAGGAGUCAGAGGGGGAAUGAUUCGAUAUGGGUAGUAGUCGACAGGUUGACAAAGUCGGCUCACGUCAUUGCAGUUCGAAAGGACCUGAGUCUGGAUAGACACGCAGACCUAUAUGUGCGCCAAGUGGUUCGAAUGCAUGGAGUGCCGGUUACGAUAACAUCUGAUAGAGACCCGAGAUUUACUGCUGCAUUUUGGAAGAGCUUGCAGAGUGCUCUUGGUACAAAGCUUCAGUACAGUACGGCAUAUCAUCCUCAAAUGGAUGGCCAGUCCGAGAGGACAAUUCAGACCCUCGAGGACAUGCUGAGAGCAUGUGUUAUAGACUUCAAGGGAAGUUGGGAAGAUCAGCUUCAUCUGGUAGAAUUCGCCUACAACAACAGUUAUCAGCAGAGUAUUCAGAUGGCUCCAUUUGAAGCGUUGUAUGGCAGAGCAUGCAGAACACCAGUAUGUUGGGAUGAAGUCGGGGAAAGAAAGAUAACAGGCCCAGAGUUGGUUCAGCAGUCAGUAGAUGCCGUGACAGUGAUCAGAGACAGAUUAAAGACAGCGCAGAGCAGGCAGAAAAGUUAUGCAGAUAAGCGUCGAAGGUCUUUGGAAUUCCAAGUUGGUGAUUACGUUUUUCUGAAAGUAUCACCAAUGAGGGGAACUUCGCGCUUUGGUAAGAAAGGCAAACUGAGUCCAAGGUACGUAGGUCCGUUUGAGAUUCUUGAGAGAAUCGGGACCUUAGCGUAUCGUCUUGCGUUGCCGCCAAGAUUGGCGCAAGUGCAUGACAUCUUUCACGUGUCGAUGUUGAGGAAGUACGAGCCUGACUCGACCCACGUACUCAAUUUUGAAGAAUUGGACGUGGAUGACCGUGUGUCAUACGUAGAAAGACCGGUCCAGCUUGUCGAUCGCAAAGAGCAAGUUCUGCGUACAAAGACCAUCCCAUUGAUCAAAGUGGUCUGGCAACACCACGGUACAGAAGGAGCGACAUGGGAGACUGAGGAGUCAAUGAGAGAAUUGUACCCCCACCUUUUUAAUCAAGUCUUGUAAGGUUUAAAUUUCGAGGACGAAAUUUUUAUAAGAGGGGAAGAGUUGUGACAUCCCAAAUUUUCAACCCUGUCUUCUACUGAAUUAAUCGGGCAUUUCAUUGAUGCGUCUAUAGGGUUAUUCUCAGAGCCGAUCACUCUCGAGAUAACUAGACUAGCUGGGGAAAUUAUUAAGGAAUUUUAAGGCAAUAGACUUGAGAACUCGAUCAGGAAUCGGCUUCUUGACCGUGUCUAUCUUUAGAGGCCAUUGCGACGCAGUAUAAAAUCGAUUAGAGAUCAGAGAUAGGUCGGUUCGACUGAGAUGUGUGGCUAAUCGUGGGUGACACCACUAAAUUAGAAAAUUCUCAUCGGCCGACACUAGACUGAUUUUCUUAUUGUUUUGGUACCCUGUGUCCGUAAUUGAAUCCUCGAGAUUUUCACGACAAUCAAGAGUCGCCAUUGAGUCGAGUGGAUUUAUAGUGGCUCGAAGAAAAUCGACCACGGGUCAUUUGCCUUAAAAAGUUCUGAAAACUACCCGAUAGUCUAGGUCACGCUAAAAACGCGCCGAAUGAAAAUUAACCGCCAAUUCGAGUCCGAUUUCAGAAAUUGAAGUUUUGGCCAUGUCACAAUAAAUUUUAGGAGCAUCGACUCAGUCUCAGAAGAUUUUCGAAGAUUCGGGAAAUUUUACGGAAAUUAGGUUCGGACGUCGCGGAAAUUUGGCAGAAGUUCAGAUUGGCUAAAUUAAUGGGAAAUUGGACUUUCAGAUUGAGCCAUUGUGUGUCGGGGAUUUAUAGAAAAUCAUUUGGGAUUUUUCUACGUCGACUUAGACUCGGCUCUGACUNNNNNNNNNNNNNNNNNNNNNNNNNNNNNNNNNNNNNNNNNNNNNNNNNNNNNNNNNNNNNNNNNNNNNNNNNNNNNNNNNNNNNNNNNNNNNNNNNNNNUAGGCCUAAAUUGGAUUUUAAUGUUUAUUUAUUUAUUUUCGAAAUUUAUUAUUUAAUUAAUUAUUUUUCCGGAAAUUCAACCGGGAUGGCCGGUGACCGGAAUUUUGUGCUGAUUGUCGUGGUGCAGUCCGUUUAUUUAUUUGAGCUCUACGUUGUGUGGAAUUGAAUUUAUUGUGGAAUUUUAGGAAUUGUCCUAAAUUGUUUGUUAUUGAAUAUUUGAUUGGUAAUGGCUAAGCUUGGAUAUAUAGCGCCGGUACGUUGAUGGGCUAUAUAGUAGGGAGAAUGGUGAGACCAAUCAGGUACGAUAUUUUUGGACAUACGUGGUUCGGUGAUUGGAAGUAUCACUGGCGAAAACGGCGCCUUAAAGAACGCACGUGAAUGACUUAUAGACAAACGUGGUUCGGUGAUUAUGGGAAUAUCACUGGUGAAAACGGCGCCUUAAAGAACGCACGAUGUUGUCUAUAGCCGAUGUCACCUUGGCGAAAACGACGCCCUUAAAAGGACACGUGGUUCGGUGAUCAAGGUUAUCACUGGUGAAAACGGCGCCUUAAAGAACGCACGGUGUCGGUGAUCGGUAUGUCAUUGGCGAAAACGACGCCCGAGAAACACAUGUGAUUUGGUGAAUGAGUACACCACUGAGAAAGCGUGGUAUGAGUGGGAAUGACCUAGAGAGGGUCUGGCUGACAUGUAAUCGACUUAGUCGAUUGAUCAAUGCUUGAUCGAAUGUCGUGAAUUGUUUGAAUACUUGUGUUUAACCGUGAAUUGCAGGUUGGAACUGAGGCCAAGGUAAGUCCUCUGACUCGUGUUGUGCUUAGGCAACCGUAUGGCGUAUUAGUUUAUUAAUCGAGUCUUAGUGGGUAGGACUCGCUGAGACGUGGUCUCAUUGGUUAUUGAAUAACCAUUUCAGGACCCUGAGGAGAAGCUAAGGAAGGGGAACCUGAAGGGGAGAAAGACUUUUGAAGAAGAAGAUGAUCCAAAGAGGGAUCUUGAAUAUAACCCAGAUGUGGAUUGAGAUCCCAUCCCUUUUGUGAACCCUGUCUUAGUGUAGAUAGGUGUGAGACUUUUAUGUUGUAAAUAGUAUUGUAAAUAUACUAUGAGUUGUGCUGUUAAUGAAAGUGUGG
rnacentral:lncRNA from 1 species